CUUAAUGGAAACUGCCUCCAAUCAUCAGUUAUAUACCAAGCAACCGUCACAAGAAAGGACAACAACACUACCGCAACAUACAUMGGACUCACAGAAAACGAYUUCAAAACAAGAUACAGAAGAAACGAAGCAUUAUUACGCAACAGCUAAACUGCUAAAGAAUUGAUGUUGGAAUUGGAAAAGGCUUACGAUGAUUUCUGCAACGUGAACGAAGAGUACGAGAUAGCUGUUAUGGAUGAAUGUAAUGCUGAACAUCGAGUGGUGAAUGAUCAUAAUAAAGAUAGCGAGUUCAACGAUUACGAGAAGCAUAUAAACAAAUCUGGGAAGAUCAUU